AUUGAACGCUGGCGGCAGGCUUAACACAUGCAAGUCGAGCGGGGUGAUGGUGCUUGCACUAUCACUUAGCGGCGGACGGGUGAGUAAUGCUUAGGAAUCUGCCUAUUAGUGGGGGACAACAUCUCGAAAGGGAUGCUAAUACCGCAUACGUCCUACGGGAGAAAGCAGGGGAUCACUUGUGACCUUGCGCUAAUAGAUGAGCCUAAGUCGGAUUAGCUAGUUGGUGGGGUAAAGGCCUACCAAGGCGACGAUCUGUAGCGGGUCUGAGAGGAUGGUCCGCCAAACUGGGACUGAGACACGGCCCAGACUCCUACGGGGGGCAGCAGUGGGGAAUAUUGGACAAUGGGGGGAACCCUGAUCCAGCCAUGCCGCGUGUGUGAAGAAGGCCUUAUGGUUGUAAAGCACUUUAAGCGAGGAGGAGGCUCUUUUGGUUAAUACCCAAGAUGAGUGGACGUUACUCGCAGAAUAAGCACCGGCUAACUCUGUGCCAGCAGCCGCCGUAA
rnacentral:rRNA from 1 species